rnacentral:rRNA from 1 species
AUUGAACGCUGGCGGCAGGCUUAACACAUGCAAGUCGAGCGGAGAUGAGGUGCUUGCACCUUAUCUUAGCGGCGGACGGGUGAGUAAUGCUUAGGAAUCUGCCUAUUAGUGGGGGACAACAUUCCGAAAGGAAUGCUAAUACCGCAUACGUCCUACGGGAGAAAGCAGGGGAUCUUCGGACCUUGCGCUAAUAGAUGAACCUAAGUCGGAUUAGCUAGUUGGUGGGGUAAAGGCCUACCAAGGCGACGAUCUGUAGCGGGUCUGAGAGGAUGAUCCGCCACACUGGGACUGAGACACGGCCCAGACUCCUACGGGAGGCAGCAGUGGGGAAUAUUGGACAAUGGGGGGAACCCUGAUCCAGCCAUGCCGCGUGUGUGAAGAAGGCCUUAUGGUUGUAAAGCACUUUAAGCGAGGAGGAGGCUACUGAGACUAAUACUCUUGGAUAGUGGACGUACUCGCAGAAU